GCCUGCGCGGAAGAUGUAACGGGGCUAAACCAUGCACCGAAGCUGCGGCAGCGACACUAUGUGUUGUUGGGUAGGGGAGCGUUCUGUAAGCCUGUGAAGGUGUGCUGUGAGGCAUGCUGGAGGUAUCAGAAGUGCGAAUGCUGACAUAAGUAACGAUAAAGCGGGUGAAAAGCCCGCUCGCCGGAAGACCAAGGGUUCCUGUCCAACGUUAAUCGGGGCAGGGUGAGUCGACCCCUAAGGCGAGGCCGAAAGGCGUAGUCGAUGGGAAACAGGUUAAUAUUCCUGUACUUGGUGUUACUGCGAAGGGGGGACGGAGAAGGCUAUGUUGGCCGGGCGACGGUUGUCCCGGUUUAAGCGUGUAGGCUGGUUUUCCAGGCAAAUCCGGAAAAUCAAGGCUGAGGCGUGAUGACGAGGCACUACGGUGCUGAAGCAACAAAUGCCCUGCUUCCAGGAAAAGCCUCUAAGCAUCAGGUAACAUCAAAUCGUACCCCAAACCGACACAGGUGGUCAGGUAGAGAAUACCAAGGCGCUUGAGAGAACUCGGGUGAAGGAACUAGGCAAAAUGGUGCCGUAACUUCGGGAGAAGGCACGCUGAUAUGUAGGUGAAGUCCCUCGCGGAUGGAGCUGAAAUCAGUCGAAGAUACCAGCUGGCUGCAACUGUUUAUUAAAAACACAGCACUGUGCAAACACGAAAGUGGACGUAUACGGUGUGACGCCUGCCCGGUGC
rnacentral:rRNA from 1 species